rnacentral:lncRNA from 1 species
CCAGAGUACAUCACUUCUGCUGCAUCCUGUUGGUUACAGCCACCGUCAAGCCUGCCCAGACUUCAGGAGAAAGAACAUACAUUAGGAAUAAGAACUUGGUUCUCAGUCUAAUGUCUACCAAAGAAGUUGCCCCCAUAGGUGGUCCCUUGCAGUCUGGGAAAUCAAGUGUCGAGGAUGUCAUUUCCACCAGAAGAGUCAAGCCCUGAGCAGCUGCCUGCCUUCCUUUGCUACACCAGGAGCUCCUAGGGAGUCACAGGAAGCUCCAGUUACCACCGUCUCCAUCAGACGGGAUCCUUCCUCAGGAAUGCGAGCUGUGACAUUGCAUCUCCAUUGGCAGUCUCUUCUGUACUCCCAGCACUUAGCAUCUAGGCCCUGGAGGAAUCCAGAAGCACUGGCUUCUUCCGUCCUACCAAGGCAGGAAUGUUAAGUCACCUCUUCAUGCCUGUACCUCUGUCCCCCA